rnacentral:rRNA from 1 species
AGAGUUUGAUCCUGGCUCAGGAUGAACGCUGGCGGCGUGCCUAAUACAUGCAAGUCGAGCGGUAAGGCCUCUUCGGAGGUACACGAGCGGCGGACGGCUGAGUAACACGUAGGAACGUACCCCAAAGUGAGGCACAAGCACCAGAAAUGGUGCCUAAUACCGCAUAUGGCCUUAGGGUUAAAGUACUUCGGACGCUUUGGGAACGGCCUGCGCAUGAUUAGCUUGUUGGUGAGGUAAUAGCUCACCAAGGCGACGAUCAUUAGCUGGUCUGAGAGGAUGAUCAGCCAGACUGGGACUGAGAACGGCCCAGACUCCUACGGGAGGCGAC